UACGUAGGGUGCGAGCGUUAAUCGGAAUUACUGGGCGUAAAGCGUGCGCAGGCGGUUUUGUAAGCCAGAUGUGAAAGCCCCGGGCUUAACCUGGGGAAUGGCAUUUGGGACUGCAAGGCUUGAGUGCGGCAGAGGAGACUGGAAUUCCCUGGUGUAGCAGUGAAAUGCGUAGAUAUCAGGAGGAAUACCGAGUGGCGAAGGCAGGUCUCUGGGCUGACACGUGACGCUCAUGCACGAAAGC
rnacentral:rRNA from 1 species